GGGCAUACCCCAUUUUGAAAAUCCUAGAUUGUCUACUUUUGAAAAAUGCCAUUAUGGGAGUAAUUCUCAUUCCUGAGCUGCCAUACGGUCUCAAAUGCAACAAAUAAUCUGGCAUAUUUCGAUGUUUAAAAACUGAAAUGGGCAAGUCUUAUAUCUGACCCUGUACAUGGGGGUACUGUUGUACUCAUAAGACAUUGCUGAACACAAAUAUGUGUUUUAUUGUCC